GGCGGUAUUCGGGGAGAAAAAAGAAAAGGUGGCAGGUGGCUUAGGUCAUAUUUGGACCACUUUGUGCUGAAGCACCGUAACUUGGUCUUUUGUCAUCACUUUAAUGAGUAGUAGAUUCAAACCCUAUUAUUAUCCACCGACUGCCCUGUCCUACUUCUAGGCUACUAACUCUAUAGCCCUACACUAGAGCCACCACUGUGACACAGAGAUGAGAAUACUUCAAGGAGAGACAGAGAGAGAAAGCAGCUCUCAAUGAUCAAAGUAGAAAACACCCCAUAAAAGUGCAACUGAUCGUUGUUCAGGUACUGGAUUUCUUCGUUCUUUCUUUUGUUUUUUUUUUUUUGUUGGAGAUCAAGGUGCAAUACUGCUGUAAAUGGAUCAGCUGAUUGAGUUCUCAUAUUUUGCCUUUUGGUAAGUGACCUUAAAUCGUAUCUUCUCUUUGCUAAUUUCCUUGUUUGUUGCUCCAUAUCUAAGCUUCUACGUAGGGACCUUUUCUUAUCCAGUUCACGGUUGCUAGCUUUUCCCCUUCGUUUUGUUGUUUGAGGGUCAUUGUUAUUUUGUGGAAACUUCUACUCAGCAACUUUGUGGAUCUCCAAAUACUGUUUCAAGCCAUGGAUGAUCAUGGGUUUAACUUAAUUUCACUCCAUAUUCUAUAUGUUUCUAUGUGGGUUGUUUGCUUCAUUGAUCUAGGUUUCAGUUCCUCUGCUGGGUUUAUUCUAUUUUCGCAAUUGGGUUUGUCUUUGUUAACUUUCUACAGUCACCUUUUCGUUUCCACGAGAAGUGAAAAUAAGCCUUAUCACUUAGGGUUAGGGUUCAUGCAAAGGACGCUCUUUACUUUAAAGUUCAUUUCUUGUGCUUCUGUUUUGAGUAUUCUUUUACUUUCCCAAGUCUAGAAUCAGCCCGUUUUCUAGCACUCUAAGCUGAUUUGGUUUCUAAACAGUUUCCUCUGAUACCCAAGAUUGUCUUAAGAAGAUGUCUGUGUUUUAUUGGAGUUCAAGACCUUCCCUUUAGAAAGGAUUAAGAUUCUUGAAAUUGUCUGUUCUCUUCUAUAUCGAUCUUUAUCUUGGCCUAUCGAUCUUUCAUCUUCCAUUUCAAUUAUCUUAUUUGAAUUCUCGUAGUAGUUUGCUUUCCUAAGUUUUUACAGAAACUCAGAAAUAGAACUGUCAGAGAUACCCUUAUAAAUGUCAGUCAUAAAAUAUGACGUAAUUAAUUUGAUUUCAUGCUAAUGAAGGAAACCUUGCCAUUGUUAUUUUGGUAGCUGAUUUGCCUUGCACUCCAAAUAGAGAAGCAGAUCCCCAUGGCUUUGAUUUAGCAAAUCAGAUUAAUUAGCGAAUUUGAAUUAUCAUACAUGAUGUGAUUUGUGAAUGUGUCUAUUAUUUUUUAUUUUUUAUUUAUAUUUCCUUAUGCAUACUCUAUUGUGAAAGCUUCAAUAGUAUCAGCAAUAUGUUAACGUUAAUCAGGACAUAGUAAUGAGAAAUGGUUUAAGAGAGCUUCCUUCAGUCCACUCAUGGACGGGUGAAGGGUUUGAAUUAUAUGCCGACUCAUUCAUUCAAACACAAUAGGAAAUGGUAACAGUGAUUGCUAUUGUGAAUGUGUGAAUGAUGCGGGAGAUAAAUUUCAUCCUUCUCUUCUCUGUGCUUGGACUGAAGGGAGCUCCCUUUAACUGUUUCUUCAUCUCAAAUGAGAGGAUACAAUGAAACAACUCAAACCAGACAAGGUUCUGAAAACCAUUAUCAAAUACUUUUGAGUUUCUUCCUUACUUUACAAAACAUAUGGUCUUGCUCCAUUCUUAUUUGUUUGGUACUCUUCUUUCUUUCUUUGUUAUUGGUCGGAAGGUUGAGGAUACGGGAUGAGAGGGGAAUGGAAUCGAACCCAGAUCACCGGGAAUUUUUCUUUACUCUCAAUUAUGCAUUACAAAACAUGAAGUAAAGGCAAUUGUAUUUGCUAGAAACUAGAAAAACUUGUUAGAAACAUAGUUGAAUUAUUUAGAAUAUAUGGGAAACCGCAGUACAUUCUAGUGUUUUAAGGUUCAGGAUCCAUUCUUAGUCCUGGGGUCAAAAGGGGUAUCUCUAUUUAUCCAUUGAAGAGCUCUGCUUAGUAGAAGCAUGUUAAUAAUGAAGAUAUUUUAGAUUUUAGCUGAAAUUUGGGAAAAGAAAAUUGAUUUUCUUUUGCAUUUUCGUAAUUCUUUUUUGCGUAUUAUCCUUGCUUAACUCUCCCCACUUCUCUUCUCUUUUCUUUUCUUAGCAAAAACAUGACCAAGCUUUGUAUGCACGUAUAUUUAGAGCCUCCUAAACGUUUAUGCCUCAAUUUCCCAAGUACUCUCUGGUCUCAUUCCAUUUUGCCUGCACCAUUGAGGGUAAGUGAGAGGCAAAGCUACCAACUUGAAGAUGUUUGCCCACGAGUAAUAACAAUCCACUUCUGGGAGGAUUGCACUGAAAAUUCAUGACAUGAUAUAACGAGAGAGAGAGGUUUUUGCUUUUUGGACUCUAUUUUUCAGGAAUAAACUAGAAGCUGAAAAGUGAUACUCCAUUGAUUCAUGUGUUUUCCUGUCAACUUGAUAAGUCUGUCAUGGUGUUUGUUUACUGAGAAAUGGGAAAAAAGAGAAAAAAAUUUUUUUUGUGGA